AAAUCGUACCCCAAACCGACACAGGUGGUCAGGUAGAGAAUACCAAGGCGCUUGAGAGAACUCGGGUGAAGGAACUAGGCAAAAUGGUGCCGUAACUUCGGGAGAAGGCACGCUGGUGUGUAGGUGAAGUCCCUGCGGAUGGAGCUGAGACCAGUCGAAGAUACCAGCUGGCUGCAACUGUUUAUUAAAAACACAGCACUGUGCAAACACGAAAGUGGACGUAUACGGUGUGACGCCUGCCCGGUGCCGGAAGGUUAAUUGAUGGGGUUAUCCGUAAGGAGAAGCUCUUGAUCGAAGCCCCGGUAAACGGCGGCCGUAACUAUAACGGUCCUAAGGUAGCGAAAUUCCUUGUCGGGUAAGUUCCGACCUGCACGAAUGGCGUAAUGAUGGCCAGGCUGUCUCCACCCGAGACUCAGUGAAAUUGAACUCGCUGUGAAGAUGCAGUGUACCCGCGGCAAGACGGAAAGACCCCGUGAACCUUUACUAUAGCUUGACACUGAACAUUGAGCCUUGAUGUGUAGGAUAGGUGGGAGGCUUUGAAGCGUGGACGCCAGUCUGCGUGGAGCCAACCUUGAAAUACCACCCUUUAAUGUUUGAUGUUCUAACGUUGGCCCCUUAUCGGGGUUGCGGACAGUGUCUGGUGGGUAGUUUGACUGGGGCGGUCUCCUCCCAAAGCGUAACGGAGGAGCACGAAGGUUAGCUAAUCCUGGUCGGACAUCAGGAGGUUAGUGCAAUGGCAUAAGCUAGCUUGACUGCGAGCGUGACGGCGCGAGCAGGUGCGAAAGCAGGUCAUAGUGAUCCGGUGGUUCUGAAUGGAAGGGCCAUCGCUCAACGGAUAAAAGGUACUCCGGGGAUAACAGGCUGAUACCGCCCAAGAGUUCAUAUCGACGGCGGUGUUUGGCACCUCGAUGUCGGCUCAUCACAUCCUGGGGCUGAAGUAGGUCCCAAGGGUAUGGCUGUUCGCCAUUUAAAGUGGUACGCGAGCUGGGUUUAGAACGUCGUGAGACAGUUCGGUCCCUAUCUGCCGUGGGCGCUGGAGAAUUGAGGGGGGCUGCUCCUAGUACGAGAGGACCGGAGUGGACGCAUCACUGGUGUUCGGGUUGUCAUGCCAAUGGCACUGCCCGGUAGCUAAAUGCGGAAGAGAUAAGUGCUGAAAGCAUCUAAGCACGAAACUUGCCCCGAGAUGAGUUCUCCCUGAGACUUUAAGUCUCCUGAAGGAACGUUGAAGACGACGACGUUGAUAGGCCGGGUGUGUAAGCGCAGCGAUGCGUUGAGCUAACCGGUACUAAUGAACCGUGAGGCUUAACCUUAC
rnacentral:rRNA from 1 species